UAGAUUUUUGUUGUUUUCUAAUCAUAUUUAAGUAUAAACUAAUACAUGCUAUCUGUGUUUUAUAACCUCUUAGAUAUUUCACUAUAAUGAUUUUUUAGUGAUACAGACAUUAGUAUAUAUAAUAUUUAUUUCCUGUUUAUUAUUUAGCUUCCUUUGACUAAUGGAAUUAUGUAUAACUUUAUUUUUAAAUGAGUAUAACACUUCAUUAUGUUGAUUUCAAUACAAGAUGACUGUUCAUCAAAAAAGAAGAUACCACUGUAGUAUUGGAUCAGUUCAUAAAAGUUCCUUUUUUUUUAGCAUUACCAAUAUUGAAAUUAAUUGCAUCUAUCUUCUUCGAUGAAAAGAUUUGUUAAAUGUAAUGCGAAAAGAAUUUAGUUAGUGAUGACAAGUAAUGGUCAGAAUUGAAAGCUUUUAGAAAGUAAGAUAGUAUUGUAAAAGUAAGAAACAAAUACUAUUCUACUCUAAAAGUAUAUUUAUUCAUUAGUUUAUCAUAACAUUAAUACAUUUAUUCUUCUUUUACAAACAUAUAUUCAUUGUGCUGAAAGAAAUAGCAUAAUACUUUCACCGAUGACUAACAUGUUCCCUGCCACGUGUAACACACAGACAUAUUCAUUUAAUGUGCUGAAAAUUAAAUGGCCUAUAUGACAAGUUGAUCAAAAUUGGCUUCACAGAGAACAUGUUAAUGACAAUACCGUCUUUAUAA